rnacentral:rRNA from 1 species
GACGAACGCUGGCGGCGUGCUUAACACAUGCAAGUGGAGCGACGAACCGGGGCUUGCCCCGGGGCAGAGCCGCGAACGGGUGAGUAACACGUGGGUAACCCACCCCGAUGACCGGGACAACCCGAGGAAACUCGGGCUAAUACCGGAUGUGCUCCUUGACCUUGAGGUCAAGGCGUAAAGAUAGCUUCGGCCUUCGCAUCGGGACGGGCCCGCGGCCCAUUAGCUUGUUGGUGGGGUAACGGCCUACCAAGGCGACGAUGGGUAGCUGGUCUGAGAGGACGAUCAGCCACACUGGGACUGAGACACGGCCCAGACUCCUACGGGAGGCAGCAGUGGGGAAUCUUGCGCAAUGCGCGAAAGCGUGACGCAGCAACGCCGCGUGGGGGAAGAAGGCCUUCGGGUUGUAAACCCCUUUCAGCAGGGACGAAGCGAAAGUGACGGUACCUGCAGAAGAAGCACCGGCCAACUACGUGCCAGCAGCCGCCGUAA